rnacentral:rRNA from 1 species
UGGGGAAUAUUGCACAAUGGGGGAAACCCUGAUGCAGCGACGCCGCGUGAGCGAUGAAGUAUUUCGGUAUGUAAAGCUCUAUCAGCAGGGAAGAAAAUGACGGUACCUGACUAAGAAGCACCGGCUAAAUACGUGCCAGCAGCCGCGGUAAUACGUAUGGUGCAAGCGUUAUCCGGAUUUACUGGGUGUAAAGGGAGCGUAGACGGAGAGGCAAGUCUGAUGUGAAAACCCGGGGCUCAACCCCGGGACUGCAUUGGAAACUGUUUUUCUAGAGUGUCGGAGAGGUAAGUGGAAUUCCUAGUGUAGCGGUGAAAUGCGUAGAUAUUAGGAGGAACACCAGUGGCGAAGGCGGCUUACUGGACGAUGACUGACGUUGAGGCUCGAAAGCGUGGGGAGCAAACAG